rnacentral:rRNA from 1 species
AUACGGAGGGGGCGAGCGUUAUUCGGAAUUACUGGGCGUAAAGCGCACGUAGGCGGCGAAGCAAGUCGAAGGUGAAAGCCCUCGGCUCAACCGAGGAAUUGCCUUCGAAACUGCUUCGCUUGAGUCCGGGAGGGGGGAGCGGAAUUCCCAGUGUAGCGGUGAAAUGCGUAGAUACUGGGAGGAACACCGGUGGCGAAGGCGGCUCCCUGGACCGGUACUGACGCUGAGGUGCGAAAGCGUGGGGAGCAAACAGGAUUAGAUACCCUAGUAGUCC